GAAGCGCGCCAGACCGCCGCUGGUGCAACCCCGCAAGGGGACCCGAAAGGGAGCACUGGAGGAACGUCCGGACUGCACAGGACAGCGUAGGAGGUAACACCUCUCCACCGACAAGUCGCAAGACCCUAAGGUGAGGAUCAGAGCAACAGAGACGAGCCGAUUCAGUUCGGGUGAAACGGGCAAUCUCUACGCGCAGCAAUACCAAAUAGGCCAGCGUUGACGUGGUUCCGCGGAGCUGGCGGGUAGGUAGCACCGAGCCGGGUGGGCGACCCCCGGCCCAGAGGAAUGGCGGUCACAUGCGGGGCGACCUGCAUGCACAGAAUCCGGCUUAUCGGCGCGCUUCACAC
rnacentral:RNase_P_RNA from 1 species